rnacentral:rRNA from 1 species
CGAGUCUUAACUGGGCGAAUUAGUUGCAGGGUAUAGACCCGAAACCCGGUGAUCUAGCCAUGGGCAGGUUGAAGGUUGGGUAACACUAACUGGAGGACCGAACCGACUAAUGUUGAAAAAUUAGCGGAUGACUUGUGGCUGGGGGUGAAAGGCCAAUCAAACCGGGAGAUAGCUGGUUCUCCCCGAAAGCUAUUUAGGUAGCGCCUCGUGAAUUCAUCUCCGGGGGUAGAGCACUGUUUCGGCUAGGGGGUCAUCCCGACUUACCAACCCGAUGCAAACUGCGAAUACCGGAGAAUGUUAUCACGGGAGACACACGGCGGGUGCUAACGUUCGUCGUGAAGAGGGAAACAACCCAGACCGCCGGCUAAGGUCCCAAAGUCAUAAUUAAGUGGGAAACGAAGUGGGAAGGCUCAGACAGCCAGGAUGUUGGCUUAGAAGCAGCCAUCAUUUAAAGAAAGCGUAAUAGCUCACUGGUCGAGUCGGCCUGCGCGGAAGAUGUAACGGGGCUAAAUUAUGCACCGAAGCCGCGGCAGCGAUAUGUAAAUAUUGUUGGGUAGGGGAGCG